rnacentral:misc_RNA from 1 species
CUCUUCAUUUUUUUUAAAGUGAACGUAGUGGAUUGGACUUGGAGGUUUUGCCGGGCUUCACCGCUCGGCUCCUCUCAAAUGCAUUAGUGCGUCUUGUUGCGACCUGCGCCUCGGUGUGAUAAUUAUCUACGCUGUGGUGCGCUUGCUUCUGCGGAGACGCGCUUUCUAACCGUCCGAAAGGACAGCUUUCAUCGAACUU